GCGCGCGGGGAGGAGCCGGGGGCGCGGUGGGUGGGGGGUGCUGGGGCGGGUCGCCGAUAGGUGCGGACUCGGGUUAGCCAGACUCUGGACCUGGGCCGGCUGGCGCGAGCGCCCUUCCCCACCCCGUGCGGACUUCGGAACUGGCCCAAGACGCGCAGGAGCCGCCUGCGGAGCGCGUUUCCACGGGACGCGGAGCACCGGCGGAGCCCCGAGGAUGCGAGCCCUGCCAGCCCUGGACGCGCCCCAGAACGAGCGACUGCUGACCCGGGACCCCGCGGCCGUCAGGGUCCGGGACGCGGCGGGGCCAGCACGCAGGAGCGCCGUGGAGAGGCUGGCGGCCGACCGCGCCAAGUAUGUGCGGGGCCCUCCGAGAGCCGGCGCGGGGCCCGCGGCCGCGGGCAGCAACCCCGGGGCGAGCGAAGGGACCGCGGGCGAUCCUCGGCCUCCGCCUCGUGUCGCCGGUGCCGUGGCGCGCAGGGCCAUAGCCCGGAAGCCACUGAGGCCCGACUCGCUGAUCAUCUACCGGCAGAAAUGCGACUUCGUCCGAGGCCAGGGCGCCGACAGCUCCAGGGCGGGCCUGGUGAAGAAGCUCUUCCAAGGCCCGGGCAAGGACAAGACGUCGCUGUCCCCGGAGACGCCCCAGGUGCGAGAGGAGAUCGGGGCCAGGAGCGAGGAGCCUGCCCCGUCCAAGCCCGGCUCUGCGGCGGCCUCCGCGGCCCCCGGCGUUCCCGCGCCCCCGGCGCGCCCAGCACCUUGUGGGACGCCCACCCGAGUGCCGGCUGCGCCCCGGGAACCGGAGCUGCGAGGGUCGAGGCGCGGGGGGCUGCAGCGGUCGCAGUCAGACCUCAGCUCCCGCUACUCUGCGUCCUUGGCCGAGUGGGACACCUUCUUCCAGUUCUGCGGCCUGGAACCGGAGGUCGUGGAAGCUCUCGGGAGGGAGAACUUCUCCGCGGGGUCGGACCGCGUCACACUCAAGGUCCGCAGCGUGAGCGUCGCCACCUCCGACAGCGGCUUCUCCCGGCAGAGCGGCAGCGACGCGGGGCUGCAGGAGGAAGGGCUGGCGGAGCAGGUGCCCAGCACCACCUCGGUGGUCGAGAGGAACGCCCGCAUCAUCAAGUGGCUGUACACCUGCAGGAAAGCCAGGGAGAAGCCGGGCCAGGCGCUGCAGGGCCCGGUGUGAUCGCUCGCGCUCUGCGGAGACCUGGACCCCAGCCACCAUGAUCGCCUCGGGGUCAAGGAGGAAAGCUGUGGGAACGGCAUCGUUCCGGAGACUCGUGGUCCGGUAGACAGAGCACUAAAGUGGACGGACUGGGAGCGUCUUCCAUUGGAAGCGAGGCUUCCAGACUGUGGGGGCUCCUUGAAGUAUGUCCUGGAUGACUGGGGACCCCGGGGCCAUCCUCAGUGCCACAGGACUUGUCCCGUGCACCCAGGGGACCACACGAUUGCUGCUUUCCUGGGAAUGAAGCACCCACUGAAGAGACGUACAGAGUUCAGAAGGUUUGAGAUGCGGUGGAGAAAGAGGACCUUGGAACUUGGAAAUCAGCUGACUUGUAGCUGUUAAGACAGCUGGAGCUUGGGGAGGUAGUUUCUUGUUUGAGGCGGAUCUGGUCUUGCUCCCAGAGGGCAGCAGAGGAGGGAAGCCUUCUUGGAAAUGUUUUCAGGGCUCUCUGUUUGACUGGCUUGGUGACAAAGAGGUACCAUGAUGCAUUGUAAUGAUAUUUAAAUUGAUUCUAAAAAGAAAAAGAAGUCCAAGAGUAGGAAAGCCAAGCAUGGAUACCAUAGCAUUUACUGCUUUUCAUCAGUCUGGGCUGUUGGGCUCCAAUUAAACCAAAGUUCUGUAGCCGUGAGAAGGUGUAUUAUACUUCAGCAGUGUGGGUAGCGGAGAGUAAACACAGUCACAUGCUCUCAUGGACACCUCCGUUCUGAGCAUCACUGCCACGGAAACUGCAGAAUGUACUCUUAAAGUAAUUUUAGUACUGCCACUCCCGUUGGGUUGCGUACGUGUGGACGUGCCGUUGGAAGGGAAGUUGGAGUUGAUAUUGCUAAAAAUGCCUUUUUGGGAGCUGGCAGGAGACCUAGGAACUCCCUUCCCUGGCAGCAUGGCCUCCACAGGGCUCUGGUUCCCCAAUUGCCCAAAGCAGGGAGAGCCCAGGGUCCACACAGCACACCCUGCCCAUCUGUCUAACCCCCACCUGCGGAUCACACAGUCAUCUCAGGUUUGGCACUGGCUCACCCUUUUCUGCCCAGGAUGUGUCUGAGAUGAGGGGCAGCCUCAGGGCACCUGGCUUCUCCAGGAUCAGAAUCCUGUGGGCAGGGAGUUACUGACCCUCGCCUACUCCUCACACCCAGACCACAUAGAUUUCAGAUUCAGAGCUUGUGGAGAGAAACUUUGUAUCCAUGAUGACAACCCGGAAGACUCUGUAACCCAGCUGACUCUUCCCAAGCCUGCUGGGUUUUAAUGAAGUACAUGUCCUCAGGAGCAAUAUUAUUACGGAGAAGAGUAUGGAGGAGAGAAAGAUUGCUUCUCAGUGGUAGAACAUUUUAUAAACCAAUGCAUUUCGAUAUGUUCAUAUACUUGUUUAAUAUUGUGUUCUAUUUUUGUAACUCCUACUGUGAGGGGUUCUUUAUUUUAUUUUUUGCAGUUACUGGUCAUUAGAUAGUUUGCUUUAACAUCAUAUGGUUUUAGUUUUUAUCAGUUUUCCAUCAUUUUCUCCGUGCUUGUGUUUGUGCGUGUCGUUUCACUGGAUGUCCCACUCCUGUCUGUAAGCAUCGUGCUCCCUGCUCUCUGUACCACAGUGAUUUGUUUUCAAAUAAGUCACACGUAGGGAUUUUUGGAGCCUCUGUUGGCCCAUGGAUGUACCUUUCUCAUCGUAGACUAUUUAAAGACAACAGAUCCAUGCUUUAAGAAUUUCCUCCAGUUGUUCCUCUCAAAAGGCUGCUAUUUUAGGGUUCAAUCGAUUGCAGUUAAUUUAAAAACAUAAUGUCAAAGAUGAGAGUUUUUUUUAAAGGGUCUCUACAUACACCCAUUCCCUUACUUAAGGUGUUGCAUUAAUUGUACAUGUCAAUGCUUCGGGCAAACCUGUUUUGUGCCUUUCUACUCUCAAAGUAGGGUGAACUAGAACUUCCAUCAUAUUUGCCUUAGAUUGGAAUGGUGCAGACUCAUAAUUCAUGUAACAAAUAAACGUAUAUAUAGACCAGCUGGUUGUGUUUAAAAACA